GCCGCUUUAGCUCAGUUGGUAGAGCACAUCAUUCGUAAUGAUGGGGUCGCAGGUUCGAGUCCUGCAAGCGGCA
rnacentral:tRNA from 1 species